CCUAAAUAAUGCAUUAACAAAGAGGCCGAAGAAAAGAUGGAGCAACAAUCAAUUUUCAAUGAAAAUCACACCGCUCCUUAUCCGUCUGAAACAAGUGUAAGCCCUGUCCUGGCGACAGGUCGCUUUGUUUAUCGCAAGAGCCGACGCACCAGACCAUUUCAGCUUAUCCACCCCCUCGUUGUCCCAACCCCCCGACCGUUCCGGACGCAGCGUUCGCGAACAAACGAUACUCUUUCUGCCUGGCGGGACACGGCACAUUCCUUUUCUCCCUUUCCGAAAGCUACGAUGGAGACUCGGCGUUUGUACGCGCACACUGUAGCGGACGAUUCACGCAACCGACGUCGGAUUAUACCCCUUUUUCAGUCGAAGAUAGGGAGGAGGCAGGAAGGGGCAGGAGGAAACGGGAACAGAGAGCGGGC
rnacentral:misc_RNA from 1 species